ensembl:lncRNA
AUUCUCUCCUGAUUGGCUCUGUGGUGCACAGUCUGGCAGUCUGACAAAAGUACCAGAGGUAUGAGGAGAGACAUCCUCCUUUUGUAUUUAUGUGAAAAAAUAUUUCCUAACUCUUUGGAUCCUGUUCUUGGACAGUUAGAAGACCCAAUGCAUCAAUGCAAAAAAAUAAUGAUUACUAAUUACUGUCCAUGAAUAACCUCAACCUUGUGGGUCUGUGGGUAUUUGGGCCAAUAAAGUGCAAACUCAAUUCUACCACUGACUAGUCUCUCAUGCCCCUAUGAAAAGGGACACAGGACAAUAGUUUUUAAUCUAAACCAGACCUUUUUUACUGGAGUACACUAACCCCUAAUUGGGGCUCUUUUCUUGACACACAGUAGCAGUUUACCAAAUAAGAAGUCAAAAAGAUCAAAAAGUAGAUCGUUGUAAGGGUGUAAUACAUCCUGUGCUGGUCACAUUGUCAUAUCCAUUCUGGAUUCUGGGUGGUAAAAUCAUAGCUGAAAAAUGCCUCUGUGUGUGUAUACAUUUUCCCCCAAGACAGAACUGCCAAAGGGGGUGGAGUUGCAAUCUACUGCAGAGUUCUGUCAUGCUAUCCAGGUCUGUGCCCUACUUUUAAAAAUCCACCUUUCCAGAAAUAAGUCUCUCACUGUUGCCGCUUGUUACAGACCCCCCUCAGCCCACAGCUGCGCCCUGGACACCAUAUGUGAAUGAAUUGCCCCCCAUUUAUCUUCAGAGUUUGUACUGUUAGGUGACCUAAACUGGGAUAUGCUUAACACCCCGGCCAUCCUACAAUCUAAGCUAGAUGCCCUCAAUCUCACCCAAAUUAUCAUGGAACCUACCAGGUACAACCCCAAAUCUGUACACUUGGGCACCCUCAUAGAUAUCAUCCUGACCAACCUGUCCUCUAAAUACACCUCUGCUGUUUUCAAAAUACAAAAAAAAUACACCUCUGCUGUCUUCCAGGAUCUCAUUGAUCACUGCCUCAUUGCCUGCGUCCCUAAUGGGUCCGCGGUCAAACGACCACCCCUCAUCGUCGUCAAACGGUCCCUAAAACACCAGCGAGCAGGCCUUUCUAACCGACCUGGCCUGGGUAUCCUGGAAAGAUAUUGACCUCAUUCUGUCAGUAGAGGAUGCCUGGUUAUUCUUUAAAAUUGCUUUCCUCACCAUCUUAAAUAAGCAUGCCCCAUUCAAACAAAUGUAGAACAAGGAACAGAUAUAGCCCUUAGUUCACUCCAGACCUGACUGCCCUUGACCAGCACAAAAACAUCCUGUGGCGUACCGCAUUAGCAUUGAAUAGCCACCGCUAUUCGAUGCUAGGGAUGUUAGGAACUUAUCAUCAGACUCAACAGCCUUUGUUUCUCAAAUGACUGCCUCGCCUGGUUCACCAACUACUUCUCAGAUAGAGUUCAGUAUGUCAAAUCGGAGGGCCUGUUGUCCGGACCUCUGGCAGACUCUAUGGGGGUGCCACAGGGUUCAAUUCUCGGGUCGACUCUUUUCUCUGUAUACAUAAAUGAUGUUCCUCUUGCGGCUGGUGAUUCUCUGAUCCACUUCUACGCAGACGACACCAUUCUGUAUACUUCUGGCCCUACUUUGGACACUGUGUUAACUAACCAUACAAUUCUCCUUCUGUGGCCUCCAACUGCUCUAAAAAUGCAAGUAAAACUAAAUGCAUACUCUUCAUCUGAUCGCUGCCCGCACCUGCCCGCCCGCCUAGCAUCACUACUCUGGACGGUUCUGACUUAGAAUAUGUGGACAACUACAAAUACCUAGGUGUCUGGUUAGACUGUAAACUCUCCUUCCAGACUCAUAUUAAAGCAUCUCCAAUCCAAAAUCAAAUCUAGAAUCGUUGCCAAACAUACCCUCGUAAAACUGAUUAUCCUACUGAUCCUUGACUUCGGCGAUGUCAUUUACAAAAUAGCCUCCAACACUCUAAUCAGCAAAUUGGACGCAGUCUAUCACAGUGCCAUCUGUUUCGUCACCAAAGCCCUAUAUACCACCCACCACUGCAACCUGUAUGCUCUCGUUGGCUGGCCCUCGCUUCAUAUUUUUUGCCCAACCCACUGGCUCCAGGUCAUCUAUAAGUCUUUGCUAAGUAAAGCCCCGCCUUAUCUCAGUUCACUGGUCACCAUAGCAGCACUCACCCGUAGCACUCGCUCCUGCAGGUAUAUUUCACUGGUCACCCCCAAAACCAAUUCCUCAUUUGGCCGCGUUUCCUUACAGUUCUCUGCUGCCAAUGACUGGAACGAAUUGCAAAAAUCUUACUUCAUUUGCAAACACUGUAUAUAGACUUUUCUAUUGUGUUAUUGACUGUGCGUUUGUUUAUACCAUGUGUAACUCUGUUUUGUUGUUUGUGUCACACUGCUUUGCUUUAUCUUGGCCAGGUCGCAGUUGUAAAUGAGAGCUUGUUCUCAACUUGCUUACCUGGUUGAAUAAAGGUGAAAUAAAAAAACAAAAAAUACUGUGUGGGAAUGUCUUAUGUCCGUGUAGUGUUGGUACAUGGAAUAUUCCUCAACUGCAUAUAUCAUAAAUUGCUAUUGCAAAUAGAAGUAUUAUGUUCAACAACUGACAUUUUCAGAUAUUAUUUUGACAAACACACUUGUGCUUACAAUUCAUUCUCUAUUGUCAUAGACUUGAUGGGCACUGUCAUCUGUGAUCUUUGUGAGGACUUUCUUUAGGCACGUACUGAUGAAACUGUCACUUAAUAUUUUUUUCUUAAAGUCCACAAACGCUCUACAUUUAUUCACUCUGUGAUAGGGUUGGAUCCUAUAUGCUACUUUUAUUAUUGUCCUGUAAAUGGUUCAGUGCCUAUAAUUUAAGCUGUGUGUGUAGAAUGGGACAUAAAGGAAAUGACCUCUGCUACUAAAUUACUACUAGAUUAUAGUGAUAAGGAAAACAGCAUACACAUUUGGCUUGUGUAUUCAUUUGCCUAUAACUAAUCAGAAUUCCAUUAUGUUUACAUAAAAAAGAGAGAACUUCAAAAUGAGAUCCUGCCAUGGAAAAGACGACGGACAUGAAGUGGAAAGGAGGGGAAAUAACUCACACCAUGCAGCAGGACACCUUCAGCUGUGUGGUUUUUGUAAUGCAGAUGGCCAAGGAAGUUGCACAGAACUUCCCCAACAUCCCCUCCCAAAUUGAUAUGGAACCUUCAAAAACACAUGGAGCAAGUGCGAAAAUAAAUGGCUGAGGAUAUACUAAAAAUGUCUGAGUUCAACAAAGCCAACAACUGCUUCAUGUGUGCCACUGAUAAAGAACCUGGAUGUAGCACAAAGACUGCCUGGAUUGAAUGUUUUGCAGGCCAAAGGUGGUUCCAUGUGCUGUAACUAGGAAUGAAGACAAAAUAGUUAAACAGAGCAAACAACACAAACUGGAAGUGCUGUCUUUGUUGUUGAAAAUGUAUGCUAUACCCCAUCCACACUGAAGAGGCUCUGACAUGUACAUCAACCAGGGAUAAAGAGAAAGUUAACACUGUG